AGAGUUUGAUCCUGGCUCAGAACGAACGCUGGCGGCGUGCCUAAUACAUGCAAGUCGUGCGAGAGAGUUCCGCUUCGGUGGAGCGAGUAAAGCGGCAAACGGGUGAGUAACACGUAAGUAAUCUGCCCCUAAGUUCGGAAUAACCUUGCCAACGCGGGGAUAAUACCGGAUGUGGUCACGAGAUCGCAUGGUUUCGUGAUUAAAGAUGACCUCUACUUGUAAGUUAUCGCUUUGGGAUGGGCUUGCGCACCAUUAGCUAGUUGGUAGGGUAACGGCCUACCAAGGCUGCGAUGGUUAGCCGACCUGAGAGGGUGAUCGGCCACAUUGGGACUGAGAUACGGCCCAGACUCCUACGGGAGGCAGCAGUAGGGAAUUUUGCGCAAUGGACGAAAGUCUGACGCAGCAACGCCGCGUGAGGGAUGAAGGGUUUCGGCUCGUAAACCUCUGUUGAGUGGGAAGAAACGCCAUACGGUUAAUACCCGUAUGGUCUGACGGUACCAUUCGAGGAAGCUCCGGCUAACUACGUGCCAGCAGCCGCGGUAAUACGUAGGGGGCAAGCGUUGUUCGGAAUUACUGGGCGUAAAGGGAGUGUAGGCGGGAGAGUAAGUCAGGAGUUUAAUCCACAGGCCUAACCUGCGGUCGGCUUUUGAUACUGCUUUUCUUGAGUAUGGGAGAGGAAGAUGGAAUUCCAGGUGUAGCGGUGGAAUGCGUAGAUAUCUGGAAGAACACCAGUUGCGAAGGCGGUCUUCUGGCCCAAUACUGACGCUGAGGCUCGAAAGCUAGGGGAGCAAACAGGAUUAGAUACCCUGGUAGUCCUAGCCAUAAACGAUGGACACUAGUUGGUGGGGGGGGUCAAUCCCUUCACUGACGUAGCUAACGCAUUAAGUGUCCCGCCUGGGGAGUACGCUCGCAAGGGUGAAACUCAAAGGAAUUGACGGGGGCCCGCACAAGCGGUGGAGCAUGUGCUUUAAUUCGAUCCACGCGAAGAACCUUACCUGGGCUUGACAUGGGAGUGAAAGUUUCCAGAGAUGGAAUCCUUUCCGCAAGGAACACUCUACACAGGUGCUGCAUGGUUGUCGUCAGCUCGUGUCGUGAGAUGUUGGGUUAAGUCCCGCAACGAGCGCAACCCCCGUCCUUAGUUGCCAUCAGGUAAUGCUGGGAACUCUAGGGAGACUGCCUGGUCACAACCAGGAGGAAGGUGGGGAUGACGUCAAUCAUCAUGGCUCUUACGUCCAGGGCUAGACACGUGCUACAAUGGUCGGUACAAUGGGCUGCGACAUCGCGAGGUGAAGCAAAUCCUUAAAACCGGUCUCAGUUCAGAUUGGAGUCUGCAAUUCGACUCCAUGAAGGUGGAAUCGCUAGUAAUCGCGGAUCAGCAUGCCGCGGUGAAUACGUUCCCGGGCCUUGUACACACCGCCCGUCAAGCCAUGAAAGGUGGGAGUACCCGAAGUCAUAGCCUUAACCGCAAGGAUGGGCGUGCCGAAGGUAAGACCACUGAUUGGGGCUAAGUCGUAACAAGGUA
rnacentral:rRNA from 1 species